GGGUAGGAAACUAUAUAGUAGUGACUUACACUUCCUUAAGCACUUUGCAAUUUUAAACCUCAUCAUCCAUUAUUUUCUUAUUUUUAUUUUUAGCCCUCUCUUCAACAAUUAUUUCACAAAUAAUUUUUAUCAUCUCACGAAUGCUUCAAUCAUUUUUUUUCAAAGUUUUUUCUUUUUUGUAUAUGCCUUUUCACUAGCCACCCUCAAUUGAGGUGCACAAUAUCCUUGGUAGGACCAGGGCC
rnacentral:lncRNA from 1 species